rnacentral:rRNA from 1 species
AAGUCGAGCGGAACGAGUUAUCUGAACCUUCGGGGGGCGAUAACGGCGUCGAGCGGCGGACGGGUGAGUAAUGCCUAGGAAAUUGCCCUGAUGUGGGGGAUAACCAUUGGAAACGAUGGCUAAUACCGCAUGAUGCCUACGGGCCAAAGAGGGGGACCUUCGGGCCUCUCGCGUCAGGAUAUGCCUAGGUGGGAUUAGCUAGUUGGUGAGGUAAGGGCUCACCAAGGCGACGAUCCCUAGCUGGUCUGAGAGGAUGAUCAGCCACACUGGAACUGAGACACGGUCCAGACUCCUACGGGAGGCAGCAGUGGGGAAUAUUGCACAAUGGGCGCAAGCCUGAUGCAGCCAUGCCGCGUGUGUGAAGAAGGCCUUCGGGUUGUAAAGCACUUUCAGUCGUGAGGAAGGUGGUGUAGUUAAUAGCUGCAUUAUUUGACGUUAGCGACAGAAGAAGCACCGGCUAACUCCGUGCCAGCCGC